rnacentral:ncRNA from 1 species
GUGAGUUGGGUUUAGAACGUCGUGAGACAGUUCGGUUCCUAUCUACCGUUGGUGUUAAAGGGAUAAUUGCGAGGAGCCAGCCCUAGUACGAGAGGACUGGGUUGGGUCAACCUAUGGUGUACCGGUUGUUAUGCUAAUAGCAGCGCCAGGCAGCUAAGUUGGUAUGGAAGAACUGCUGCGCCGCGGGAAAUCCUUCUCUAUACAAGUUCUC